GGACAGCACAGAUCCAGAUGUGGGAGACUCAGCUGAGUCCCAUGGGAGUCUCCCCUUCUAGGGCUAACAGAGGUCCAAGAAAUGGGGGGACACCAAAACAUCUAACUGCCAGUGGCCCUACCUCCAGGCCUGACCAUGCCUUGAAGAUGUGGCAGGUCAGGGCUGCGUGAGCUCAUAACAAUUCCGUAACCUUCACCUGGCCGUUGUAGGAUGUGUACACCCUGUCACAUGACUAGAUAGGAUGACAGAGGGAAGAGAAGAGCAUAGCAACCGACCUCACACUGACCUACAGUCGCUAAGAGGAUGACGAGCAGACAAACAUACACUAAACAGAAAUGGCAGAACUGCUUGGAGACGGGGUAAGGUUGCAGAAGACUGGCAAGGAGCUAAAUGGCGGACCGAGUAUGUGACUGAAUGUGAGCGGAAGAUGCAGGCUGUGCAGUUGAAGGCCGUGCAAUGAACCUUGUCUGGCAGAUCCUGCCAAAAUGUAGUUUAGUAUAGUUCAGCAUGUUUUUGCCUGUAAAUAAGUUAGUUUAGAUAAUAUGUACAAUUUAUGAAUGUAAUGAAUGCAGCCAGCUGUUGACCCCAUAUAACCCUGAGAUAAGCGCAGGGGAUAUAACAUCGCAAAGCACUCCCCUUGAUGGAGUCCUGCCUGGUCAGCUGUCCUGGACGGCCAGAGUCCCCUGCAGCCCCUCCGCGCGCCUCAGGGACUCCCCGCGCAGCUUGGAGUGUAAGUCCUUCUCUCAGUAAAGCCUUGCUUAUUAUUUUCGGGCUGAGUGUCAUUCUUUAGCUGGUAUCUCAGCCCCCCCUUGUGGGCACAAUUGGUGUCACGAACAGGAUACUGGCGGGAGGAUGCCUCUUUGGGGAAGGAAGGAUAAGGGGGAGGGAGAGAGCUGCAUUCCCGGGUGGCCUGCCACGGGAUGGUGGGCACCAGUGGCUUGCAAGCUGGUGGGG